GCCGACGUAGCUCAGCUGGUAGAGCAACGCACUCGUAAUGCGUAGGUCAGGGGUUCGAGUCCCCUCGUCGGCUCCA
rnacentral:tRNA from 4 species